rnacentral:sRNA from 1 species
GCGGCCGCCACCGCUGCCGCCUCGGCCAGGCCCAGCUGUUUUGCCGCCGAGUCCGAGUCCUCCAUACGGACUCCACCGAGUCCGCCCGAAGGCGCUGUCCGGGACCGCCCGAAGCGCCAGGCACCGAGCCCGAAGCGGGGCCCGAAGAGGCCGCCCGAGUUGGGCCGAGGCCGCCCGAAGCCACCGCCCGAGCAGCGACCGAAGAGGCAGUCUGACGCCCGCCGAACCGAGCCGAAGCUGCCCGCAGAGCCGAGCUAAUGUCCCGAGUGUAGAACCGAGGCUCUCCGAAGUUUCCCGAAGUGCAGAAUCGAGCUAGUACGAAUGGUCCCGAAGUUUCACGAAACCUUACGAGCGUUUCUUCCUCGCUGUCUAGGAAGCUGAUCUGACUGUAGUCACUAACCGAUGGAGCUGGCUGGCUCUGGGUAGUUUCUCGCCGGCUUCCAACGAAAUUUAGGUUCGCGGACAGACACUGGAGCCACUAGAUUUUUUCAACCCCCUCUGGCGGCGGCGGAAGCCGAACCCAUACGAGGCCUAGCCGAACUCCGCCGAAUGCCUCCGAGCAGAGUUCUCCGGAGCCUCAGUGCCCGCCUCCUUCUAUCCGAAAGCUCCCGAGUGUUGCCGGACGGGAGAAUCGGGCCUCGGCCGCGGUCGGACGCUCGCUGCAGCGCGCGGCGGGAGGAGUGAAGAUGGCGGGAGGGUGCGGCCAAGAGGCUGCUGGGAUUGUGGCGGACCCAGCGGCAAAAUGGCGGCCGUGCGGCCAGGGAGAGGCUCCUUCAAGGUGCUCUCGUCAGUUCCUCUUCAGAUGCUGUUCCACCUCAGUGGGCUGUACUAUGCUCUGUACUUCCUAGCCACACUCCUGAUGAUUGUGUACAAAAGCACACAAGGCAACCUGACGGAGGCUGAAGUGCCACUGGCAGCCAGCCUGGCAUUCACAGCAGUCAGUGGCCUCCUUUCUGUUCACUUCCUACUCUGGCAGACCUUGGUCCUGUGGAUGGACUCAGUCCUCAGCACGGUUCUCCUGGUGCUGCAUGGGCUGGAGGCCGGCCUGCAAGUGGUGGUCAUUGCUGAUUUCAUCAGGUAGACAGACCGGGACAACCUGCACAGCAGUGCUCCUCAGCCUCCAGCCAGUUCCUUUGCCCAGAAAGGAGGGAAUCUUUUUUAUUGCUUAUCUUAGAUGGUUUAUACAUCUUUUUUAGUGAGGGGGGUACAAGACCUAGGGAAGGACAGACUUAGAAGCUUGAAGAUGGCCAUCAUGGACAAUAGUCUAGUGAAUCCCAGAGAUGUGUACCCAUGUCCUGUGCUGGGGUGCUGACUAUAGCAGGACCACCAGUGAUCCCCAGGCUAGUGAAAGGCAAAGCCUUUCAGGAAGUCAUCGGCCAGGAUAGCCCUGCAGCUCCACCUUGUCUCGGCCCUAGAAACACAGAAUCCUGGCAGGAGAACUUGGCUGUGCUGGUCUGCCACCAUGUGUUUUCUCACACACAGAUUACUGAGUUCUGUGCGGGAGCACUGGCCCUGGGUCUUGUUCUGAGAGCCUGUUGUACUUAGUUGCCAGACUUUGGUCCAGAGCUGGGAUCCCCCUGGAGCUGCAGGAUGGCAGGCCUUGUGUUCCAGUGUCCCUCCAAUUUGCCUCCCCAUCAGGCCAGCCCUGAAUGAAACGGCUUGGUUUCCAAAAGGAAACAAAAGCAAAUGUAUUCCAGGUCUGGUGGCACACAAACCUUUAAUCCCAGCACCCAAGAGGCAAAGAUGGGUAUAUGUUUGUAAGUUCAAAGCCAGCCUGUCUGGCCUACAUGGUAAUUUGAGGGUCACCCAGGGUUACAUGGUGAGACUGUGUCUUUAAAAAAAAAAGUAUGCAGGCCAGAGAGCUGGCUAUUAUGGCCAUCUCAGCCAUGUUCAGGGCUGGAGGUAGGGCUGGGGAAGUUCCAAGGAGCAGAAGACAGAAUAAAAGAACAACUUUUAGUCAGGUUGUCUGGGAGUCACAGUUCACCAAACUGCAGCCUUUGUAGAGUGCCAAGUGAGUUUCAUCUCCUCUCCUCCUAGCCUGUUUUUUCUCAAAAAGUAUUUAAGCAGUAUUUUUUUUUUUACAGUUUCUGUCAUUCUGUUAGGUGUUUUCUGUUUACAAUGCUAUGUUCAAAUAUCUAGUUUCUCUUUUAAAAAAAUAAAUAAGUAGUUAUGCCGUCA